rnacentral:rRNA from 1 species
AUUGAACGCUGGCGGCAGGCCUAACACAUGCAAGUCGAGCGGAUGAAGGGAGCUUGCUCCUGGAUUCAGCGGCGGACAGGUGAGUAAUGCCUAGUAAUCUGCCUGGCAGUGGGGGAUAACGUCCUGAACCAGCCGCUAAUACCGCCUACAUCCUCGGGGAGAAAGUGGGUGAUCUUCGGACCUCACGCUAUCAGAUGACCCUAAGUCGGAUUAGCUAGUUGGUGGGGUAAAGGCCUACCAAGGCGACGAUCCGUAACUGGUCUGAGCGGAUGAUCAGUCACACUGGAACUGAGACACCGUCCAGACUCCUACGGGAGGCAGCAGUUGGGAAUAUUGGACAAUGGGGGAAAGCCUGGUACAGCCAUGCGGCGUGUGUGAAGAAGGUCUUCGGAUUGUAAAGCACUUUAAGUUGGGAGGAAGGGCAGUCAGUUAAUACCUUGCUGUUGUGACGUUACCAACAGAAUAGGCACCGGCUAACUUCGUG